rnacentral:rRNA from 1 species
GCAAGUCGAGGGGUAACAUAGAGAAGCUUGCUUUUCGCUGACGACCGGCGCACGGGUGCGUAACGCGUAUGCAAUCUACCUUCAACUGGAAGAUAGCCCGAAGAAAUUCGGAUUAAUAUUCCAUAACACUACGAAAUCGCAUGGUUUUGCAGUUAAAGCUCCGGCGGUUGAAGAUGAGCAUGCGUCCCAUUAGUUUGUUGGUGAGGUAACGGCUCACCAAGACUACGAUGGGUAGGGGGCCUGAGAGGGUGAUC